GAGAGCCGUGUGCGCGAAAACGUGCAAGCACGGUUCGGAGGGGGGAGGUCGGAAAAGGGCUGUCCGGCGAUACCACCUGUAACGAUACAGGCAGGUCUAAGGAAGAUAGCAGUGCCUCGCCGGCCCCCUACCCUAC
rfam:Ktedonobacter racemifer DSM 44963 Krac_Contig203, whole genome shotgun sequence.